AUGCCCACCACGGCUGAGAGCUCCCUCACCUCCUCGUACAGGCGUCUCAGGAAGUCGAUCUCCUGGAUCAGGGCCUCCGAGUUGGCCUCCAGGUCUGACUUGCGGAGAGCCACAAACUCGUUCUCUGCUGUGGCCCGAAGUGCUACCUCUUCUUCAUACCUGAGGUGGGAGGGAAGAACAGGACGCUGCCUGAGCAGCUCCCAACUUGGCCAUGAAGCACGCCUGAUUCCUAGACCCUCUCCCUGCUCGUCCCUCCGCCUCCAGAAGACAUGGGGCAGGACCAAGAAGAAGUCAGGCUGCCUGUCCAGGCCUGCUGAGAUACACUGGAGAACUGAAGUGCCCAUGCUCACAUCACCUCUGAUCUUUUCGGUGGGGAUGGGGGGGAGGGCAGGAUCUGGAAGCUUGGUGUGUGCACACGUGCAUGGGUGUGUGUGCAGAGGGUGGGGGAGUAUUUUUUUCGCCCAGGGCUCCAUUUUCCUUUCUUCUGCCCCUGGCUUUGCUAUAGAUAAUGGGAACCCCUCUCAGUCAUUCCCCCUCCUGGGCUCAGCCAGUACCAGUCAAGCCUGCCACUUCCUCCUGCUCUGUGGGCAAGGCCAGCUCCGAGCCAGAGGCAGGGAGUGUGGCGGUCUGGCAAGUUCAUGGCUGAGAGUGCUACUAGCCACCCCUGGAAACCAGCAUCCUAUAGCACCCGGUGUGCACCCUCCGUAUCCUGUGUCACACUUUAUGACAGAUGGCCUGUGCCGUGACUGGAUCAGACCUGCUUCCCAGCAGACUGCAGACCCCACGAGGACAGGCACUGUGUCCACGCCUUGCCCCUGGAUUGCCUGCACCCUUCUCGGUGUCUGCCUGGCACCUGGUAGGCACUCAGAAAAUGCCGGCUGAGUCAAGGAGUAAACUUGAGAAGCAACGUCCGGGACCUUGAAGGCUAGAUUCAAAGGCACCGGGGGUGUUAAUUUUUCUGGGGUCGUAAGAGAAGUGUCUGGUGGAUGGAGAAAGGGAGAAAAUAUCACUUCCCUGACCUGCAGAUGGGAAGGCCAGGUGAACUCCAUCUCCCAGCGGGCCAGGACCCACCCGCAGGCCCCAUGUGCCUCCAGGAAGGACAGAGAGUACAGAUUCUUCCCCAUCCUCAGGCAGAGUCCCAGCCACAGACCCAGACACUGCUCCCCGCGCUGGCAGCUGCCUUCAAGCCCCUUCCUGAGCCAGCACCUUCCAGCACUCACUUCUUCUUGUAGCCCUCCAGCACCUCCUGCACGUGGUUGAGCUCCGAGGCCAGCCUCCCGCUGUCGGCCUCCACGCACUCGGCCUCCCGCCUCAGCGUCUCGAUGUAGCCCUCGAACAGGGGCUCCAGGUUGCUCUCGCAGCACUUGCGGUUCUGGUAGAACUGCCACUUGGUCUCCAGAAGCUUGUUCUGCUGCUCCAGGAAGCGCACCUGCCGCCCAGAGGCAGAGCCUGAGAAUUUCUUCUUACAGGAUGGGGGUGGGGGGCAAGAGGCGGGGAUCCCAGCACCAGGACCUGCAGGCCCCCAACUCUCAGACCCAGAGUCCUCCCCGGCCGGUGUAAUGUCAAAACCACACCAGGGAUGGGGCGCCUGGGUGGCGCAGUCGGUUGAGCGUCCGACUUCAGCCAGGUCACGAUCUCGCGGUCCGUGAGUUCGAGCCCCGAGUCGGGCUCUGGGCUGAUAGCUCGGAGCCUGGAGCCUGUUUCUGAUUCUGUGUCUCCCUCUCUCUCUGCCCCUCCCCCAUUCAUGCUCUGCCUCUCUCCGUCCCAAAAAUAAAUAAACGUUGAAAAAAAAAAUUAAAAAAAAA
ensembl:lncRNA